rnacentral:rRNA from 1 species
UCGGACCGGGUCAGUAACGCGUGAGAAUCUGGCUUCAGGUCGGGGACAACAGUUGGAAACGACUGCUAAUACCGGAUGUGCCGAGAGGUGAAAGAUUAAUUGCCUGGAGAUGAGCUCGCGUCUGAUUAGCUAGUUGGUGUGGUAAGAGCGCACCAAGGCGACGAUCAGUAGCUGGUCUGAGAGGAUGAUCAGCCACACUGGGACUGAGACACGGCCCAGACUCCUACGGGAGGCAGCAGUGGGGAAUUUUCCGCAAUGGGCGAAAGCCUGACGGAGCAAUACCGCGUGAGGGAGGAAGGCUCUUGGGUUGUAAACCUCUUUUCUCAAGGAAUAACUCAAUGAAGGUACUUGAGGAAUAAGCAUCGGCUAACUCCGUGCCAGCAGCCGCGGUAAUACGGAGGAUGCAAGCGUUAUCCGGAAUGAUUGGGCGUAAAGGGUCCGCAGGUGGCAGUGUAAGUCUGCUGUCAAAGAAUGAGGCUCAACCUCAUCAAGGCAGUGGAAACUACACAGCUAGAGUACGGUCGGGGUAGAAGGAAUUCCUGGUGUAGCGGUGAAAUGCGUAGAGAUCAGGAAGAACACCGGUGGCGAAAGCGUUCUGCUAGGCCUGUAACUGACAACUGAGGAAACGAAAAGUAAAACCGGCCU